rnacentral:rRNA from 1 species
GGACGAACGCUGGCGGCGUGCUUAACACAUGCAAGUCGAACGGAACUCUUUGGAUCAAGACUUCGGUCAAGUGAGAUUGAGUUUAGUGGCGAACGGGUGAGUAACGCGUGAGGAACCUGCCUUUCAGUGGGGGACAACAGUUGGAAACGACUGCUAAUACCGCAUAAUGUGUUUUGGGGGCAUCCCCGAGACACCAAAGCUUUAUGUGCUGAAAGAUGGCCUCGCGUCUGAUUAGCUAGUUGGUGAGGUAACGGCCCACCAAGGCGACGAUCAGUAGCCGGACUGAGAGGUUGACCGGCCACAUUGGGACUGAGAUACGGCCCAGACUCCUACGGGAGGCAGCAGUGGGGAAUAUUGGGCAAUGGACGCAAGUCUGACCCAGCAACGCCGCGUGAAGGAAGAAGGCUUUCGGGUUGUAAACUUCUUUUAAGAGGGAAGAGUAGAAGACGGUACCUCUUGAAUAAGCCACGGCUAACUACGUG